rnacentral:rRNA from 1 species
UAGGUGGCGAGCGUUGUCCGGAAUUACUGGGUGUAAAGGGAGCGUAGGCGGGAAAGCAAGUCAGAAGUGAAAAUUAUGGGCUUAACCCAUAACCUGCUUUUGAAACUGUUUUUCUUGAGUGAGUCAGAGGCAAGCGGAAUUCCAAGUGUAGCGGUGAAAUGCGUAGAUAUUUGGAGGAACACCGGUGGCGAAGGCGGCUUGCUGGGGCUUUACUGACGCUGAGGCUCGAAAGCGUGGGGAGCAAA